GGGGAAUAUUGGACAAUGGGGGCAACCCUGAUCCAGCAAUGCCGCGUGUGUGAAGAAGGUUUUCGGAUUGUAAAGCACUUUCGGCGGGGACGAUGAUGACGGUACCCGCAGAAGAAGCCCCGGCUAACUUCGUGCCAGCAGCCGCGGUAAUACGAAGGGGGCUAGCGUUGCUCGGAAUGACUGGGCGUAAAGGGCGUGUAGGCGGUUUGUACAGUCAGAUGUGAAAUCCCCGGGCUUAACCUGGGAGCUGCAUUUGAGACGUGCAGACUAGAGUGUGAGAGAGGGUUGUGGAAUUCCCAGUGUAGAGGUGAAAUUCGUAGAUAUUGGGAAGAACACCGGUGGCGAAGGCGGCAACCUGGCUCAUUACUGACGCUGAGGCGCGAAAGCGUGGGGAGCAAACAGGGUUAGAUACCCUGGUAGUCCACGCUGUAAACGAUGUGUGCUGGAUGUUGGGUAACUUAGUUAUUCAGUGUCGUAGCUAACGCGAUAAGCACACCGCCUGGGGAGUACGGCCGCAAGGUUGAAAC
rnacentral:rRNA from 1 species